CUAUCUUUAAACAAAGGAUGAGGAGGUUAGUUCUAUUUAGGCUCACGGUCUAAAUCCAUGCAGAGGAUUUAGGGUGAUGAGGAGACAUAACAGUCUCUUAGGCAAACACAAACUAUAAAAUCACAGAGGAUGUUAAAACUUUGGGAGCUACCAAUUGCAUCACUUUUGUGCACUCCACAGCAGCCAGCCAGAGUGCAGCAUCAAACCCCAGCAAGAAAACAGCUAUUCUGUCUGCCACCAUGGUGGUAGAUAUCUGCCACUGCAAGGAGAUUAUGAGAACAGGAAAAACAACAAGGAUGGCACACUGAUACACAUCUGAUAUUUUCAGACCCAUCCUCAGGAAAGUUAAGAGGCCUCCUGGCACAUGGCUUCAGCAAUGGUAAGAUAAAACCCAAAGGUAUCCAGAUGAAAACAUCCAUGACAAACAAGAAGAAAUUUCUGAAGGGGAAAGGAUAGAGUGAGCCACCAAACAUGUAACCAACGUUUAAAAUCAGAUAACAGUUCAGAAUCUUGUUACCACCAAUUAUGACAAGGCACAACGUCUCAUAAAGGGCCAAACAUGUAUAAGAGACAAGGGCCUCUGACUAGAUAUGCUCUAGCUGCAUCCAGCCCAAAUUACAGACUGGAAAACUGAGCAGAUUCUUACAGGAUCAGAUAGUGCCAGACACUAAGAUUUCAUCAAUAUAACAUCUGAGGCACAGAGACAACGCAUCAUGGUUGGAUAACCCUUUAUUCAAUCCAUUUUGCUGAAGACAGGACAAAUAAACUAAGAAUCAGAACAUUCAAUGAGUCAUAUCAAAGGAUUAAACAAGCAAGUUUCUGGGAUGUGCAGAAACAGAGAUCAUUGGAAGCAAAAAAAAAGAUGGGCGGUCAGCAAAACACUAGAAAUGCUUCAGAGGUGAUGACAGGAAUAAAGAGUCAACAUCUGCAAAGGCCAACAGAAAUUCAGCAGAAGAAAUAAACCAAACUUUGCACAAAGAUACACAGAAAUUAAUAAUCAUUUGCAAAAAAUAAUAAUUAAAAAAAAAUAAUAAAGAAAAGAAAAAGCACA
rnacentral:lncRNA from 1 species